GUGACCCUCUAGAUGGAAGCACUGUCUGUUGUCUUAAGAAAAGAUCGUGCAUCCCUUUAGAGUGUUAC
rnacentral:miRNA from 1 species